rnacentral:rRNA from 1 species
UGGGGAAUAUUGCACAAUGGGCGGAAGCCUGAUGCAGCGACGCCGCGUGAGGGAUGACGGCCCUCGGGUUGUAAACCUCUUUCAGCAGGGACGAAGCGCAAGUGACGGUACCUGCAGAAGAAGCGCCGGCCAACUACGUGCCAGCAGCCGCGGUAAGACGUAGGGCGCGAGCGUUGUCCGGAUUUAUUGGGCGUAAAGAGCUCGUAGGCGGCUUGUCGCGUCGACUGUGAAAACCCGCGGCUCAACCGCGGGCCUGCAGUCGAUACGGGCAGGCUAGAGUUCGGUAGGGGAGACUGGAAUUCCUGGUGUAGCGGUGAAAUGCGCAGAUAUCAGGAGGAACACCGAUGGCGAAGGCAGGUCUCUGGGCCGAUACUGACGCUGAGGAGCGAAAGCGUGGGGAGCGAACAGGAUUAGAUACCCUGGUAGUCCACGCUGUAAACGUUGGGCGCUAGGUGUGGGGCCGUUAUCAACAGGUUCCGUGCCGUAGCUAACG